UCGACCUCCAUCUUUUUCAUUCUUCAUUCUUUUUCAGAUCAUGGAAGAAAAACCACCUCUCUUCAAGUUCGUCGCCUUUGUACUACCACCACCAUCAGUAGCACCAUCAGAAACAACCAAAUCCAAAUCACUCUACCGCUGUUAUCUCCAAAUCACUCCACCGAUCUGAUUUUUUCAGAAGAAAUAGAAGAAGAAAAAGCCCUAAUUUCUAUCAAUUUUACAUCAAAACCCCUAAUAUGUUUUCUUCAUUUCAUGUUUUAAAACUAGGGUUUUGAUAUUUUCGUAGAAUAUAUGUUUAAAUUAGGGUUUUCUUCCUGUUUUGGUUUCGAUUUGUAGUUGUUAUUGAAUGAUGUUUUUGGUUUUUCGUGAGAAACGAAAGGUAAAUUCUCCUUCAAUCCGUCUUCCUGUUUCAUUUAUUUCUGAUUUUUUGGUGAUUUUUUUGAGGCUGAAAUCAAUCGUGUCGAUUCUGAUUUACAAUUUGUUGCUGAGGAGUAUUCUUUGCUGGAGAGCUUGCUGACAACGGUUACUCUGGAGUUGAAGUUAGGGUUACUCCUAUGAGAAAUGAAUCAUCAUCAGAGCUACUAGAACUCAAAAUGUUCCUGGUGAGAAAGGAAGCAAAAUUAGAGAAUUAACAUAUGUUGUACGAAGGAGGUUCAAGUUCCCUGAGAAUAGCGUUGAGCUUUACGCUGAGAAAGUUAACAUAGGUUCAAGUGCUAUUAAUGCUCAAACUGAAUCUCUCAGAUACAAGCUUCUUGGUGGGCUUGUUGUUUGUAGGCUCAAUGCAAUGUUUUUCAAGGUGGAGAAUGGGAAGUUUCUUUGACUGCUGUUGGUGGUUUAAGGGAACUUCCUGGAUUGAGCAUCUAUGAAAAUGUUGCACUGAUCAGAGUCCAUUGUGGACUGCGAUCAUCAUGAACUCUUACGACCUCAUGGGCAAUACUCUGUUGUCUUGGCUGAAGACGCCUCAAGAUAUAUGGAUUACAGGGGCGAGAGGAAUGAUGUUGAUUCAAUAGUUUCUGGGUCUAGACAGAUUUAUUUGACCUUUCCAGCUGAAAGUACAUUUACCAAGGAGGAUGUUUCCAACUAUUUCAAGAGCUUUGGUCAGUUCCGGCAUGUGAGUGCAGUUACAGAUACAGAUAUAACUAUUGUCUAUGUGAGUUUGUCAAAAACAUUGAUGAUGUAGACAAGACGAUGGAUGAGAUUAAUGAGCAGGCUGAGAACAUGAAGCAGAUUCAGGAAGCGUUCCUCAGCAGCUGGACCAGAUAAAACCUUGAAUGGCCAGUGCUUGAUAUCACACUGGACAGUGGUGUCACUGAAUCACUUACCAAUCAAAUUCUUGGCAUCUGUAAAGCCAAACAAUCACAUUAGCAAUAACUCUUGACAACAUAUUUGGUAAACUACCAUCAAAACCGAUGUAACUAUAUUCAUAUAAUAUCAGCUCAAACCAACACUCCAUGUCAUGGAUUCAUAUCAUCGAUGAAUAAAUACAAAUAAAACGAAAAAGGUCACCUCAUCAAAGUUGGCAGCUGCUCCAAUAUUUCCACGAUUCUCAGCGUCAAGCUACAAAGGUGCUGGAGUCAUUGCUGGUCUUAAUGUUAUGCGUGACAAGACUUUACAAAGACAAAGAACAUGUUGAGGUUGAGUUCACUGUAACUCUCUUCACUUAGUUUCCAAGGAUAUGGGCUCUCUCGAAUGAACUGAACUUAGGAACUUAGUAGGUUUCUAUGACUUCCCUCAGAAUUUGAGAUGCCUUUAAGAAGGGAAGAUAAGCAUCUUGGUGUUCCAACAACGUUCCUCAAGCCAAAGAGCAGCUGGCACAUGUAUACGGAGAUUUGUGAUGGAGGGGGAAGUGAAGUCGCACCAUUUGCAGAUAGAAAAAACAAGAAAUUAAAGUGGAGGUCUGAAUACAAACAAAAGAAAUAUAUUGUAUCGGAUGUUGGUGGUUGCUUGCCUCGCAGAAGGUGCUCACAACCAGGACCUUGUUCAAGUGCAUAACUCACAAGUGUUGCAGAUUUGAGAGACAAACAGGACGCAAGAGAAGUCAAAGACUGUUAUGUGAGUUCUACGUCUGUUAGUUUACUUGUAUAGUUAUAUGCUAUCUAUUUAAGUUUCUAAACGGAUAUUGUAUUCUCUCAAACGUAGGAAUUAUCCCAAGUAUUAAAGUGCUUGAAUUAAUAUAAAAGAGUGUGUAGGAAUUCUCUUAAAGUUCUAAGUCAAUGACUUGUUGAACAUGUCAUAGAAUUUGGUUGGGUGAAUGAUAAAAUAGAACAAGUUUUGUUGAUGUUA